UACGGGAGGCAGCAGUGGGGAAUAUUGCACAAUGGGCGAAAGCCUGAUGCAGCUAUGCCGCGUGUAUGAAGAAGGCCUUAGGGUUGUAAAGUACUUUCAUCGGGGAGGAAAAACAAAACUAAUAAUUUUAUUUCUUGACGUUACCCGAAAAAGAAGCACCGGCUAACUCCGUGCCAGCAGCCGCGGUAAUACGGAGGGUGCUAGCGUUAAUCAGAAUUACUGGGCGUAAAGAAGCACGUAGGUGGUUUUUUUAAGUUCAGAUGUGAAAUCCCUGGGCUUAACCUAGGAACUGCAUUUUGAAACUGAAAUACUAGAGUAUCGUAGAGGGAGGUAGAAUUCUAGGUGUAGCGGUGAAAUGCGUAGAUAUCUGGAGGAAUACCUGUGGCGAAAGCGGCCUCCUAAACGAAUACUGACACUGAGGUGCGAAAGCGUGGGGAGCAAACAGGGAUUAGAUACC
rnacentral:rRNA from 1 species